CUUCCAUUACUUCUUUUCCUGGUGGAGGAGUGAUGAGGUCUUGCCGGUAUAGAGGAGAAACAGGAAAAUCCCUUAAACCUGUAGCAGGCAGAAAACUAGUGCUAACUACUGAAUUAAGUCGUGAUGGUUAAAGAAAAAAAAUACUCAAACUCAUCUCUGCCACUUAGAAAGAGCUGAACUGGUUUUACGAAUUUUCCAUUACACUCAUCUAAAUACGAUGGAAGCCGUGUCUGCUGUGGUAUCACCUAUGCUGGAGCAGCCUCAUGGAUCUAUUUUCCCCUUUGAUGACUCUAACUCACUCACCAGAUGGAUGAGAGGCACUGCCAGCUGCCUGGGAAGGCUGUCACUGCUGAGGUUGGCAUCCCGUGAGCUGUACAGGUUAUAAACAUGCAACCAGCAAUUAUGUUUGGAAGGCAGCAGCGUUGCACCUGAUGAUGUCAUGAAAUAUUGACAACUCUUGCUCUGUCUCCGAAAGAGAAGUGAAAAGCUCUGGGGACACCAUUGGCUGUGAUGUUCUGCUAAAUGCAUUUUUGUCAGCGUGUGUGAUAUCUGCCCCAGCCAGCUGGUGCCAGUGGUUGUGCUCACGCUGCUCAGGGCCAGAGCAUGGUGACCAUAUCCAGGACACAGAGAACUUGUCCAUGACUGUCCUUCCAACGCCAAGCAAUGCAGUGGGACUGGACAUGAUUAAUGUUUCUUCUGUGUUUUCUCAGUUCAAAGCGAAGAAACAAGAGAACCACGUUGCAUCUGAGAGCAGUUACUUUGAUAGCAUGAAGCUGAGGAUAUCCUAGGCUGCUAUGUACUAAGCCAUGUGGCUGAGGCCACGCAGAAACUGGUGCCUGGGGGUGUCUGUGGGGGACAGUGCUGGAGGAUGGAGUGGGCUGAAGGAAGCCAGUCCCAGAGCAGAUUACCCAUACCACCUCCUCAGACUGUCCAGGAUGAGCCAUUCUCUCCACUGCUCCUGGGACUGUCAGAGGAAACCAGCUGUCCCAUACCCAGAGGAAAAGCAAAUGAAUAUGGUGCUUCUCUGGGGUGGAUACACAGUGGCUGGAAGUCAUGGAAGUAGCUGAGCUGGCUCACAGGCUAGAUGAGGGGCUGACAGCACAGACAGAACACCAUCCAAUCUCACCUAUUUUGUCAUAUGUCAGUGACCUUAUCUCACUAUCAGAGGGCAAGAUCAAGAAAGCUUCCUGGAAAUAGCACUGUGACCCCAGUUCUCACUGACUUAGGGAUGUGAGAGAAACCUGAAUUUGGUUGAGGUCCAGAGGAAUUUUACACUGCUCUGAGUGCAGCAUAUCCACAUGGGACACUGCCGGAAGGAGAGGUCUUGCUCCUCCCCAUCCCUGGCUGGCCUUCCUGCUGCGCUUCCGUCAUCCCAUAGCUACUGAGCGGCCAGCCACUGGGCUGGAGCCAUCUGCCUGAAAGAGACUCCAACAAUUAAAUACUGCCAGGCUGUACCCCAUUUCAGAGCAACCCCUAAUCCUCAGUCACAGGAGGAAAUGAGCCAGCAGGAUUGUCCUGGGACCCAGCUGCAUGCCCCAUCCUGCUCUCUCCCACAUCACUCCUGGAAUUUCCCCUCCUCUCAGCUCAGUGCAGUGCGGUAUGUGGUCCAGGAGAAGACUGAUGUCCUCAUGCGACUGCUUUCUGAGUCCAGCACUGCCCUUCAGCCUCCCUUUGGGCUACGUAGAACUGAGAAGGGAUCUGAACCAGAACUUUCCAUCCUGCAAAGGCAGGCAGGUGCCAAGGGACACAGGUCUGGCCCCCACCCAGCUCCAGGACAUGAGCACCACUUUCAUUCCUUCCCUCCCCACGCACAGAUAAUUGUGCUGCCCUUGGCUGGCUCCAACCAUCACACCAGCCAGCAAGAGCUCAUGAACCAGCCAUAGACCAGAACAGCAGGGAGUGAGUGCACACUAACCCUGCGUGCUGGCAAGGACUGGCUCUCUGGUGCUUUCUUGUCAGGGUCCAUAGGACUUUAUAAGUCUGCACUUUGGCUACCUAGCUUGAUCCUGCUCUUCCUGAAGGUAUAAUAAUCCUUUUCUUCCUUCUAAGGGUCUGGUUGCAGAGGGACUGGCUGCAGCCUUAGGAGUGGCUCUUAUCUUUCAUUGCCUCAGCAGUUGCCCUAUGAUCAGAGAUAUCAUCAGCUUACAGCAUACCUGGAGACCUGUGCCACCCUGCUGCAGCCACAGGAAGUGUUGCAGUAGACAUCAGCCAGCCCAGACAUCGCCACAAGCAUGCUGGAAGGGGUGGGAAGGUGGCUAUCCCAGCACUGCAGGGCACCAUUAAAAUCCACACCAGCUCUUGUGCUUUUGCUCUGGGAAGAGAUGUACUUUCAUCCUCGGGCAAAUCUGUAGCUGGCUCAGAGAGCCGUUUGUUUGUUUGGGCUAUGAAGUAAUGACUUUGAAGGAGAAAAUAAAGCGUCUUGGACUUCCCCU
ensembl:lncRNA